AGGCUAGUGGCGCAAUGGAUAACGCGUCUGAUUACGAAUCAGAAGAUUCUAGGUUUGAAUCCUGGCUAGCUCA